GACGUAGGGUGCGAGCGUUGUCCGGAUUUAUUGGGCGUAAAGAGCUCGUAGGCGGCUCGUCGCGUCGACCGUGAAAACCCGCAGCUUAACUGCGGGCUUGCGGUUGAUACGGGCGGGCUAGAGUUCGGUAGGGGAGACUGGAAUUCCUGGUGCAGCGGUGAAAUGCGCAGAUAUCAGGAGGAACACCGGUGGCGAAGGCGGGUCUCUGGGCCGAUACUGACGCUGAGGAGCGAAAGCGUGGGGAGCGAACAGG
rnacentral:rRNA from 1 species